CAUUUCCACAAUAAUCUUAUUUUAAGUGCAUUGGAAAUGUGGUCCUCUAGAUAUUUAAUGUCAGUUCAUUAUCAGUGCUGUAGUUGUACUUGACCCUAUUAUAAUUGGAUUACAAUAUCUAUUUAAUAAAUCUAGGCUGAAAAUGAAAGAAAUUACCACAUAUUCUACCAGCUUUGUGCUUCUGCAGAUCGACCUGAGUUCAAGCACCUGAAAUUAGCUCCUGCAGAGAACUUCAGUUAUGUGAACAUGGGUGGGAAUACUGUGAUUGAUGGUAUUAACGACCAAACUGACUUCAUUGAAACACAAAAAACAUUUUCGCUAUUGGGCUUGAACAAAGACUUUCAGAUGGAUAUCUUCAAAGUGUUGGCAGGGAUUCUGCACCUGGGAAAUGUUGGAAUAAAAGCUGUGGGUGAUGACAAAUCCUCA